rnacentral:rRNA from 1 species
GAAUCUUCCGCAAUGGACGAAAGUCUGACGGAGCAACGCCGCGUGAGUGAAGACGGUUUUCGGAUCGUAAACCUCUGUUGUCGGAGAAGAACAAGUAGGAGAGUAACUGUUCCUACCUUGCCGGUACACGACCAGAAAGCACCGACUAACUACGUGCCAGCAGCCGCGGUAAUACGUAGGUGGCAAGAGUUGUCCGGAUUUAGUGGGCGUAAAGCGAGCGCAGGUGGUUUCUUAAGUCUGAUGUGAAAGCCCACGGCUCAACCGUGGAAGGUCAUUGGAAACUGGGGAACUUGAAUGCAGAAGAGGGGAGUGGAAUUCCAUGUGAAGCGGUGAAAUGCGUAGAUAUAUGGAGGAACACCAGUGGCGAAGGCGACUCUCUGGUCUGUUAUUGACACUGAGGCUCGAAAGCGUGGGGAGCAAACA